rnacentral:rRNA from 1 species
AGAGUUUGAUCAUGGCUCAGAAUCAACGCUGGCGGCAUGCCUAACACAUGCAAGUCGAGCGAGAAAGUGUAGCAAUACAUGAGUAAAGCGGCGCACGGGUGAGUAACACGUGGAUAACCUGCCUCAAAGUGGGGAAUAACACCGGGAAACCGGUGCUAAUACCGCAUAUUCUGACGAGAUCUGCGGAUUUUGUCAGUAAAGGAGCAAUUCGCUAUGAGAGGGGUCCGCGGCUGAUUAGCUAGUUGGUGAGGUAAUGGCUCACCAAGGCUUCGAUCAGUAGCCGGUCUGAGAGGACGGUCGGCCACACUGGAACUGAGACACGGUCCAGACUCCUACGGGAGGCAGCAGUGGGGAAUUUUUCGCAAUGGGGGCAACCCUGACGAAGCAAUGCCGCGUGGAUGAUGAAGUAUCUCGGUACGUAAAAUCCUUUCGACGGGGACGAAACCGCAAGGUGACGGUACCCGUAGAAGAGC